CUGGAGUGCAAUGCUGUGAUCUUGGCUUACUGCAACCUCUGCCCCCAGGGUUCAAGUGAUUCUCCUGCCUCAACCUCCUGAGUAGCUGGGAUUACAGGCACCUGCCACCACGCCUGGCUAAUUUUCUUAUUUUUAGUAGAGAUGGGGUUUCACCAUUUUGGCCAGGCUGGGCUUGAACUCCUGAUCUCAGGUGAUCUGCCUGCGUCAGCCUUCCAAAGUGCUGGGAUCACAGGCGUGAGCAACUGCACCUGGCCGACUAAUUUUUAUGUUUUAGUAGAGAGGGUUUCACCAUGUUGGUCAGGCUGGUCUCGAACUCGUGACUUCAGGUGAUCCAUUAACCUCAGCCUCCCAACGUGCUGGGAUAUACAUGUGUGAGCCACGGCACCUGGCCCAUAGUAGUUUUAAAAAGGGAAAAGCUUACAUACUACUAUGAUAUAUCAAUUUAAAAAUGCAAAAAGUCCAGACUCAGUGGCUCGUGCUUGUAAUCACCGUACCUUUGGAGGCCCAGGCGACAGAACAAGAACCUGUCUCUAAAAAUUAAAAACAUGUUUAAAGGAAAUCCUUUUGGAAAUGCUUCCUGAGUUUGAUUUCCAGUUCAUUCAAUUCAGCCAAUAUAUAAUGGGGUACUUAUUGUAAACAAAGCUUAUUCUGGGUGAGGGGAAUGCAGAUACCCUUGGAACAUAGUCCUUGUCAUAAUCAGGAGUCUGUCUGGGGAAGGGAGAUGGGGAAACCAUCUGUUAAUAUUAUACCAUACAAUUCACCCAUUUAAAAGAUAGUUUGAUUUUUAGAAAGAGCCAGAGAUUGUCUGGAGACUUUUUUAUGUGAACAUAACCCCAAUAUUGUAUUGUCUUCAUUAUAAAACAAAAGAUGACACUUAGAACUGGAUAUCAUUUGGCCCUUUCUCUUCUCAUCUCCUCUCACUUCAAAAUGCUUACAUCUCUUAAUACCCAGCAUUCUCUUUGUUCUGCAGUUGGGCUCAACACACUCAAGGCUUGGCACAAUCUUCUUUGUAGUUUUAGCUUUUUUCGGGAAAAUCAACUAGUUUGCCCACCCAUAGCCAGAUACUUGUCAUUUUGAUUCUAGCAAUCAUAGUGAGGGUGAAGUGGUAUUUCAUGGUGAUUUUGAUUUGUAUUACCCUGAUGGCUAAGAAUAUUGAACAUAUUUUCGUGUGCUUAUUGGCUAUUUGCAUCUUUUUUUUUUUUUGGAGAUGGUUUCCCUGUGUCAUCCAGGCUGGAGUGCAAUGGCACAAUGUCAGCUCACUGCAACUUCCACCUCCCAGGCUCAAGUGAUUCUCAUGCCUCAGCCUCCCAAGAAGCUGGGGUUAUAGGCAUGUGCUACCAUGCCCAGCUAAUUUUUGUGUUUUUUGUAGAGAUGGGGUUUCGUCAUGUUGGCCAGGCUGGUCUCAAACUCCUGGCUUCAAGUGAUGCACCCCCCCUCAGCCUCCCACAGUGCUGGGAUUACAGGUGUGAGCCACCGUGCCCGGCCUACCUGCCUUUUUUUUUUUUUUUCCAAAGGCCUCAUCGAAGAUAAAUCUUUUUUUUUUUUUAACCACUUUAUUGAAGGAUAAUUGACAUACUAUACUUGUGCUUUUGAUGUCAUAUGUAAGAAAUCAUUCCCUAAUUGG
rnacentral:lncRNA from 1 species